GAUGAACGCUGGCGGCGUGCCUAAUACAUGCAAGUCGAGCGAACAGACGAGGAGCUUGCUCCUCUGACGUUAGCGGCGGACGGGUGAGUAACACGUGGAUAACCUACCUAUAAGACUGGGAUAACUUCGGGAAACCGGAGCUAAUACCGGAUAAUAUAUUGAACCGCAUGGUUCAAUAGUGAAAGACGGUUUUGCUGUCACUUAUAGAUGGAUCCGCGCCGCAUUAGCUAGUUGGUAAGGUAACGGCUUACCAAGGCGACGAUGCGUAGCCGACCUGAGAGGGGGAUCGGCCACACGGGAACUGGGACACGGUCCAGACUCCUACGGGAGGCAGCAGUAGGAAAUCUGCCGCAAGGGGCGAAAGCCUGACGGAGCAACGCCGCGUGAGUGAUGAAGGUCUUCGGAUCGUAAAACUCUGUUAUUAGGGAAGAACAAAUGUGUAAGUAACUAUGCACGUCUGGACGGUACCUAAGCAGAAAGCCACGGCUAACUACGU
rnacentral:rRNA from 1 species